rnacentral:rRNA from 1 species
GAUGAACGCUGGCGGCGUGCUUAACACAUGCAAGUCGAACGAAGCAUUUAAGACAGAUUACUUCGGUUUGAAGUCUUUUAUGACUGAGUGGCGGACGGGUGAGUAACGCGUGGGUAACCUGCCUCAUACAGGGGGAUAGCAGCUGGAAACGGCUGGUAAUACCGCAUAAGCGCACAGUACCACAUGGUACAGUGUGAAAAACUCCGGUGGUAUGAGAUGGACCCGCGUCUGAUUAGCUUGUUGGCGGGGUAACGGCCCACCAAGGCGACGAUCAGUAGCCGACCAGAGAGGGUGACCGGCCACAUUGGGACUGAGACACGGCCCAGACUCCUACGGGAGGCAGCAGUGGGGAAUAUUGCACAAUGGAGGAAACUCUGAUGCAGCGACGACGCGUGAGUGAAGAAGUAGUUCGCUAUGUAAAGCUCUAUCAGCAGGGAAGAUAGUGACGGUACCUGACGAAGAAGCGCCGGCUAAAUACGUG